rnacentral:rRNA from 1 species
UGGGGAAUAUUGCACAAUGGGGGAAACCCUGAUGCAGCCAUGCCGCGUGUGUGAAGAAGGCCUUCGGGUUGUAAAGCACUUUCAGUUGUGAGGAAAGGUGUGUGGUUAAUACCCGCAUACUGUGACGUUAGCAACAGAAGAAGCACCGGCUAACUCCGUGCCAGCAGCCGCGGUAAUACGGAGGGUGCGAGCGUUAAUCGGAAUUACUGGGCGUAAAGCGCGCGUAGGUGGUUUGUUAAGUGGGAUGUGAAAGCCCCGGGCUCAACCUGGGAAUCGCAUCCCAAACUGACAGGCUAGAGUACAAUAGAGGGGUGUGGAAUUUCCUGUGUAGCGGUGAAAUGCGUAGAUAUAGGAAGGAACACCAGUGGCGAAGGCGACACCCUGGAUUGAUACUGACACUGAGGUGCGAAAGCGUGGGGAGCAAACAGG